rnacentral:rRNA from 1 species
UAAUCAGACUUUGAGAGAGAGUUCAAGAGUACGUGAAACUGUCUCAGGGGCAAACGGGUUGGGCCCUCGAAGAUCCCAGCGGUAGAGGGAUUCAGAUCGCUGGCGGAGGGGGUUCCGACGCCGCGGAUCUCUAGGGUGAGAACGCGGCGACGGCUCCGUCCCGACGUCGGCGACGCACUUCCCUCUCCCGGUGGACGCCGCAGCCGAUCGGGCGUCGGCAGUGAGGACGCCGCGGGUAGGUGGCGUGGGCGUCGGUCUUGCACCGGCGCCCCGUGUCUGGCCCGCGAAUGUCCGGGCGCGACUCCCGAUCGAGGGAGAGGUCUCGUUCGCGAGACGAGCCGUUGCCUCUCUGAGAGCGGCGCUAGGCCAGGGAUGCCGUCGAGGCUCGCUCGUCACCUCGGGUGGUGGCGGCGGACUCGCGGCGCCCGCUGAGGCCGAAGGCGGUCGCGGAGCAGGCAGGUGGCUGGCGGCGAGUAGGUCGGUAACCCACCCGACCCGUCUUGAAACACGGACCAAGGAGUCUAACAUGUGCGCGAGUCAGUGGGACUCGAUUAAGCCCACGGGCAGAACGAAAGUGAGCAAGUCGGGAUCCCUCGCCGACGGGCGGGGGCGCACCGACGGCCUGGGCUACCCACAUUUACUUGGGUGCCCGGUGCCAGAGCGUACACGUUGGGACCCGAAAGAUGGUGAACUAUGCCCGGGCAGGUCGAAGCUAGAGGAAACUCUGGUGGAGGACCGCAGCGGUUCUGACGUGCAAAUCGAUCGUCGAACCUAGGUAUAGGGCAAAAAAAAUAAUUNA